rnacentral:tRNA from 1 species
GCCUUCGUGGUGUAACGGUAGCACACUCGGCGCAUAUUCGAGAGGUCCAGGUUCGAAUCCUGCCGAGGGCA